rnacentral:rRNA from 1 species
AUUGGACGCUGGCGGCAGGCCUAACACAUGCAAGUCGAGCGGAGUGAUGGUGCUUGCACUAUCACUUAGCGGCGGACGGGUGAGUAAUGCUUAGGAAUCUGCCUAUUAGUGGGGGACAACAUCUCGAAAGGGAUGCUAAUACCGCAUACGUCCUACGGGAGAAAGCAGGGGAUCACUUGUGACCUUGCGCUAAUAGAUGAGCCUAAGUCGGAUUAGCUGGUUGGUGGGGUAAAGGCCUACCAAGGCGACGAUCUGUAGCGGGUCUGAGAGGAUGAUCCGCCACACUGGGACGGAGACACGGCCCAGACUCCGACGGGAGGUAGCAGUGGGGAAGAUUGGACAAUGGGGGGAACCCUGAUCCAGCCAUGCCGCGUGUGUGAAGAAGGCCUUAUGGUUGUAAAGCACUUUAAGCGAGGAGGAGGCUACUCUAGUUAAUACCUAGGGAUAGUGGACGUUACUCGCAGAAUAAGCACCGGCUAACUCUGUGCCAGCCGCCGCAGUAA